rnacentral:rRNA from 1 species
GUGCCAGCCGCCGCGGUAAAACGUAGGGGGCGAGCGUUGUCCGGAAUUACUGGGCGUGAAGGGCGUGUAGGCGGUUUAAUAAGUCUCUAGGUGAAAACUACCGGCUCAACCGGAAGCGCGCCUGAGAAACUGUUAGACUUGAGGGCAGGAGAGGGGAGUGGAAUUCCCAGUGUAGCGGUGAAAUGCGUAGAUAUUGGGAGGAACACCAGUGGCGAAGGCGGCUCUCUGGCCUGUUACUGACGCUGAGGCGCGGAAGCGUGGGGAGCGAACGGGAUUAGAUACCCCGGUAGUCCACGCCGUAAACGAUGGGUGCUAGGUGUAGGAGGUAUCGACCCCUUCUGUGCCGUAGUAAACACAAUAAGCACCCCGCCUGGGGAGUACGGCCGCAAGGUUGAAACUUAAAUAAAUUGGCGG